GUGGGGAAUCUUGCGCAAUGGGCGAAAGCCUGACGCAGCCAUGCCGCGUGAAUGAUGAAGGUCUUAGGAUUGUAAAAUUCUUUCACCGGGGACGAUAAUGACGGUACCCGGAGAAGAAGCUCCGGCUAACUUCGUGCCAGCAGCCGCGGUAAUACGAAGGGGGCUAGCGUUGCUCGGAAUUACUGGGCGUAAAGGGCGCGUAGGCGGACAGCUUAGUCAGAGGUGAAAGCCCAGGGCUCAACCUUGGAAUUGCCUUUGAUACUGGCUGUCUUGAGUUUGGGAGAGGGGAGUGGAACUCCGGGUGUAGAGGUGAAAUUCGUAGAUAUUCGGAAGAACACCAGUGGCGAAGGCGACUCACUGGCCCAAUACUGACGCUGAGGCGCGAAAGCGUGGGGAGCAAACAGGAUUAGAAACCCUGGUAGUCC
rnacentral:rRNA from 1 species